rnacentral:tRNA from 2 species
GCGGGAGUAGGAAAGCAUGGUCAAAUCCGCAGGACUUAAGAUCCUGUCUCUUAGUGAGUUCGCCGGUUCAAAUCCGGUCUCCCGCA